rnacentral:rRNA from 1 species
UACGAAGGGGGCUAGCGUUACUCGGAAUUAUUGGGCGUAAAGCGUGCGCAGGCGGCUUAGUAAGUUGGAAGUGAAAGCCCAGGGCUUAACCUUGGAAUUGCUUUCAAAACUGCUAGGCUAGAGUGUCAGAGAGGAUAGCGGAAUUCCUAGUGUAGAGGUGAAAUUCGUAGAUAUUAGGAGGAACACCGGAGGCGAAAGCGGCUAUCUGGCUGAAUACUGACGCUGUUGCACGAAAGCGUGGGUAGCAAACAGGAUUAGAUACCCUGGUAGUCCACGCAGUAAACGAUGAGUGCUAAAUAUCGGGACUUAGAUCUCGGUGUUACAGCUAACGCGUUAAGCACUCCGCCUGGGAAGUACGGUCGCAAGAUUAAA